UACAGAGGGAUAGCCCAGAGAAAUUUGGAUUAAUACCUCAUGGUAUAACACGACCGCAUGGUUGAGUUAUUAAAGUCACGACGGUAAAAGAUGGGCAUGCGUCCCAUUAGCUAGAUGGUAAGGUAACGGCUUACCAUGGCAACGAUGGGUAGGGGUCCUGAGAGGGAGAUCCCCCACACUGGUACUGAGACACGGACCAGACUCCUACGGGAGGCAGCAGUGAGGAAUAUUGGUCAAUGGACGCAAGUCUGAACCAGCCAUGCCGCGUGCAGGAUGACGGUCCUAUGGAUUGUAAACUGCUUUUGUACGAGAAGAAACACUCCUUCGUGAAGGAACUUGACGGUAUCGUAAGAAUAAGGAUCGGCUAACUCCGUGCCAGCAGCCGCGGUAAUACGGAGGAUCCAAGCGUUAUCCGGAAUCAUUGGGUUUAAAGGGUCUGUAGGCGGUUUGGUAAGUCAGUGGUGAAAGCCCAUCGCUCAACGGUGGAACGGCCAUUGAUACUGCCAGACUUGAAUUAUUGGGAAGUAACUAGAAUAUGUAGUGUAGCGGUGAAAUGCUUAGAGAUUACAUGGAAUACCAAUUGCGAAGGCAGGUUACUACCAAUUGAUUGACGCUGAUGGACGAAAGCGUGGGGAGCGAACAGGAUUAGAUACCCUGGUAGUCCACGCCGUAAACGAUGGAUACUAGCUGUUGGGAGCAAUUUCAGUGGC
rnacentral:rRNA from 1 species